GCGUCGUGACAUGUCGCGACGUGCCGUGGCCUGUCAUGACACGCGGCCACGGGGCCUCCCCCUACCUGUGCCAAGCCGGGCGCAGAGGCCGAGCGCCACGACGAGCCAGGGGAGCAUGGCGCAGGGCAGCGCGCGGCCCCCGGUCGAUGCAUGGCACGGACUUUGUCCCCAAGGCCUGGGGGUGUCACCGGGGCACGGGGGCCGCUGGGGGGGGACACAUGGGCACCGGGGGGUGGCACCUGCAUGUGGCACGUGUGUGUGUGUGUGGGUGGCUCACAUGUGCAAGGUGGUGUGCACGUGGUGGAGCCUGGGAAGGGGACCUGUGUGUGUGUGCGUGUGCAUGGAGUGUCCCUGGGGGGGUGCACACACAUGUGUGUGCGUGCACAUACGUGUGCGUGCUCACCUGUGAGUGCACAGGGAGUGCGCACACGCACCGUGCGUCCACGUGCACAGAGGUGUUUGCACACAUGAUGGCACGCGUGUGCAUGCGUGUGUGUGUGCACAUAUGUGCACACGUGUGCCCGCACCCCCCCUCCCGCCCCCCCCCCCCCCCCCCCCCAGUUCCCCCACCUCCUGCACUACUGGUUAAACUGGGUCCCGGCCAGGGAGCCCCCCCUCCCGCCCCAUGCCCAGCAGCCCCAGCACCCACGGGUGCGACGCUGAGGCUGCCCCAGCGCCCAUGGGUGCGGUGGGGGCGUUGCGCCAUGCUGUGGGUGGCCGGGGCACCCAUGGGUGCGGUGGCAGGGUUGCAGCGUGCUAGGGGUGGCCCAGCAGCCAGGACACGCUGCCAGCAGGCGUGCCAGGGCAUGGCGGUGCCACCGCGACGUGUCGGGGCGUGAUGCCACCAGGACACGCAUGGUGGGGACAAGGACACCAGGACAUGUCACAGCAUGAAGCCACCAGCACAUGCAUAGAGGGGACAACGCCACCAGGACGUGUCCGGGGACAAUGCCACCAGCACACACACGGUGGCACAGUGACACCAGGACACACCAGGACAUGUGACAACAUCGUGCUGCGUCCCCACCCCUGGCCCAACCUUCGCCCCGUCCCCGUUCCGGGUGACAAAGUGCGUCCAGCCAGGGGGGGACCAUGGUGGCCGCCUGGGUGCUGGGUCCCUUGGGCGCCCUGCUGCUCGCCCUGCUGCUGGGGUGGCUGCCGGGCGCGGUGGCCGCUGUCACCCGCUUCCGAGCCACUUGUCACCAC
rnacentral:lncRNA from 1 species